rnacentral:lncRNA from 13 species
GCCCCAUUCCCGGCCCCAUUCCCGGCCCCAUUCCCGGCCCCAAUUCCCGGCCCCAUUCCCAGCCCCAUUCCCAGCCCCAUUCCCAGCCCCAAUUCCCAGCCCCAUUCCCAGCCCCAUUCCCGGCCCCAUUCCUGGCCCCAUUCCCGCUUUUCCCGGCAUUCCCGGCGCCGGCAGCGGUGCUGCAGAGCUGGAGCGUGCAGCUGGACGGGCCCAUCUCCACCGUGCUGCUCUUCCCGCUGCCCCCGGAGCCCCACGAGGAUCCCGAGGAUCGCUGGAGCCUCCUGGUGAGCAGCGCCCUGGAGGCGGCCGUGGUUUAUCGGCGGAUCCUGCGGCGGGGCCUGGCGGAGCCGCUGGAGCUGCCGGGGAGCUCCGGCUCCGACGCCGUCGUCUGCGCCAAAGUCACCGACGUCGACUUCGACGGCGCCGCCGAGAUCCUGCUCGGCACCUACGGCCAGGAGCUGCUGUGUUACAAAUAUUUUGGGGCCAAUUCCGGCGGAUCCGGGCAAUUCCGGCCGCUCUGGGCCCGGCGCUUCCCCUCCCCCCUUCUGGCGCUGGAGCCGCUGGACCUGACGGGGGAUGGGCUGCGGGAAAUCGCCGUCGUCUGCCUGGGGGGGCUGCACGUGCUGCAGCACAGCCUGGAGCCGACGGCGCGGCUGCUCCGGGAGCGGCUCCGGCGGGAGCUGGAAAACCGGGAAAAGCAGCGGGAAAACCGGGAAAAGGAGCUGGAAAAGCGGGAAAAGGCCGAGGAAAAGCGGGAAGAGGCCGAGGAAGAGCGGGGCGCGGGGCCGCGCCCCCCCAGCCCCCCGGAAUCCAAAUAAAAACCUUCCCGAAACCGUGCCCGGAAUUCCUG